AGUGAACGCUGGCGGUAGGCCUAACACAUGCAAGUCGAACGGCAGCACAGUAAGAGCUUGCUCUUACGGGUGGCGAGUGGCGGACGGGUGAGGAAUACAUCGGAAUCUACUUUUUCGUGGGGGAUAACGUAGGGAAACUUACGCUAAUACCGCAUACGACCUACGGGUGAAAGCAGGGGAUCUUCGGACCUUGCGCGAUUGAAUGAGCCGAUGUCGGAUUAGCUAGUUGGCGGGGUAAAGGCCCACCAAGGCGACGAUCCGUAGCUGGUCUGAGAGGAUGAUCGGCCACACUGGAACUGAGACACGGUCCAGACUCCUACGGGAGGCAGCAGUGGGGAAUAUGGGAAAAUGGGCGCAAGCCUGAUCCAGCCAUACCGCGUGGGUGAAGAAGGCCUUCGGGUUGUAAAGCCCUUUUGUUGGGAAAGAAAAGCAGCAGGUUAAGACCCCGCUGUUCUGAGGGUACCCAAAGAAUAGGCACCGGCUAACUUCGG
rnacentral:rRNA from 1 species